rnacentral:rRNA from 1 species
CCUACGGGGGACAGCAGUGGGGGAUAUUGCACAAUGGGGGAAACCCUGAUGCAGCGACGCCGCGUGUGGGAAGACGGUCCUCUGGAUUGUAAACCACUGUCCCCAGGGACGAAGAUGACGGUAGCUGGGGAGGAAGCUCCGGCUAACUACGUGCCAGCAGCCGGGGGUAUACGUAGGCAGCAAGCGUCGUCAGGAAUUACUGGGUGUAAAGGGAGCGUAGGCGGGAUGGCAAGUUGGGUGUUAAAUCUACCGGCUCAACUGGUAGUCGCACUCGAAACUGCUAUUCUUGAGUGAAGUAGAGGCAGGCGGAAUUCCUAGUGUAGCGGUGAAAUGCGUAGAUAUUAGGAGGAACACCAGUGGCGAAGGCGGCCUGCUGGGCUUUUACUGACGCUGAGGCUCGAAAGUGUGGGGAGCAAACAGGAUUAGAUACCCUUGUAGUC